CUGCCUGCAUUCCUGGGGUUCCAGGCUACUUGAGCUUCCUAAUUUGGAAGUUGCCACAGAGCAAACCCUAACAGUACGUGGGUGUCCUACUGUGAACUCCCUGAGAGGCAGCGGCCCCGGUUACAUAACAGGCACCUUGAUUCACCCCUCCAACGGCCUCCUGAGGUUCCUAUGCUGAGCAAGAGAUGAGGCUCUGGGCCCAGCCCAGCCCCAUUCACUGAAGCAGUGAUAUCCACACACAGGCUUAAUGCUGCGUGGACAUUCCCCGCUGGCCCCGUCCUUUGCCUGCUCUUUCCACCUUUCCCACCCUCUCACAGCAGUGGCAGGGCCUGGAAUCGCACUUCAUGACAGCCCUGGAAGGCAGCGACUUCAUUUCCUUUGCAUUUGCCCUGACACUCAACACACCGUUGGGGUUAUCAAAGGCGGACAAGCAGUGCUUGUGCAAAGACAGAGAGAGUGAGCAAAAUGGAAACAGAGAGAGGUGGAGGAGAGGGGAAGAAGGAACUUUUGUAGCUCAUCAUUUUUGAGCCCUUUCUGGGAGCUCUUCAGCUGAGUCCAGGCAGGCGAGUGUCACAGAGGAGUAACAGACGAUGUCCUCAGCUCCCGGUUGGGGAUCUGACCUGGUCAGUCAGAUGUCUUCACCAGAUGUUGCAGAAUUCUACCAACGCCUCCGGGGUAUAAGCUGCCUGAAACCUGGAGGUCUAGAGAGCCUGAGAAGAAUGGAAAUGGAUCUGAGAGCACACUGGCAGCUGGGUAGCCCAUCUAGUACACAGUCCCUCAACUCCCGUUCCUUAUUCCUCCUCAGCCUGCUCCCCACCCUCCUCACACCUGUCAGACCCUUGGCCCUUCCCUGCUUCAGGGCCCUCACUACCUUCCAGAUGAUCAUCUGACACCUCUGUGAUGCCCUCAUGCUCUUGACCUCUGCCCCACCAGCCCUAACCUUGCCCCCCGGUCCUCUCUGCACUCCUUCCUGAGCUGCUGAGCACUGAUAGAAGACAGCCAGAGCUGGACUCACUGAAGCCACCAGACACAGACUGUUGAAGCUUCCUGUGGGCCCUCAGGGCUGUGGGACAAUCCUUUGAAAACCUUUUGUGGAUUUCCAACAUCUCUCAUCUUGGGUCUCCAAAUCUUUCCUCAAGCAACCAACAAAACCUCCUUCCUUCAGGCUUACCUCCUACUUUUCCGAGACCUCCAAGGCCAUCAAGCAGCUCCUCUCUCAGUGUCUCUCCUGUCGUCUUUCAGUCAUCCUCCCUUUUCUUCCUGUCUCUGAGGAAGGAGCACUUGUCUUUCUUGUCCUGUGCUCUUGACGCCAUUCCUUCCUGUCUCCUCUGUAACUUUGUUCCAGUUAUUGUCCCUUCUAUUUUUCUGUUUUAAAGUUCCCCGCUCCGUCGGCUUCAUUCUUUCUACCUAUAAGUGAGCACAGGUGCUCCAUUCCUUACAAACAGCAACGACCACGAAAAGUCCUUUGACCCCUUCUAUCCCUUCAAGCAAGUUUCCCAUCUUUCCCUUUCCCUUCAAAUUUAUUGAAAAAGCUAAAUUAACCCAUCAUGUGUUUUUCAUGACCUUGUGAUCGUCCAUUCCAGUGGCUUUUACCCAUCUUUCUUCUCUGUGACUGCCCCAACAUUAGACUCCACUGACAACCUCCCCUACCCCCACCUCUUUCUGGAAUCUCUUCCCCACUGACUUCUCUGAAGUUGCCCACACUUUGCUCUCUUCCCUCGGGGCCCUCUGAUAACCCACUCUCUUUGAUAACUCCUGCAUGGAUUCUUUUUGUUUUCUCCCCCUUCACCUGUGCAAACAUGUAGGUAUUUCUCUGGUCUCCGCCCUCAGUUGUCAUCAUGCUCUCCAUGUUCUGUGCCAUAAACUCCCAACCCUGGCACAAUGCCAUGCAAUUGGGAGGGAACGCUCAACUCCCACCUUCUCCCUGUGGAGUGAAAGGUCUGGAUCCCCUAUCUAGCACCACAAACUUUAAGGCUCCCACCAGAGAGACGGGCCCAGAAAACACCUAUCUCUGAAAGCCAAUGGGGCUUGCGUCCACAAGACUGACAGGCUAUAGAAAACAAAGAAGCAAUUCUUAACUGGCAAAUGAGCACUCACUGAGGCUAUCUGUCCCAGGGCUCAGCAAGGGGGCGCAGGCAGAAGUGCCCAGCUCCCAGUCUCUCCCUGGAAGAAGAAGGACUGUAUACUUUACAUCCUGCCAUACCUAGGUGCUAAUUUGCAUGCAUUAGGGGAUAGCUACAACCCUCCAAGGAACCCGGAGGAGCCACUGGGCAGUCCUACCACCGUCUCUCUCUGGCUCACUCCGACUAUUAAACCACAAGACCAACAUCUCUCUGGAAGGAGCUUGAACACAGGCCUGGUGCUCCAACUUUUGUGGCUGCUGUUCAAGGGAUACUGUAUUAUACAAUUAAAUUUUGUAUAGUUAAAAUUUGUCAAGAGAGGAGACCUUAAGUGUUCUUACUAAAGACGAAAAAAAUAGGAAAUAUGUGAGUGAUGGAUGUGUUCAUUAACUUGAUGGUGGGAAUCCUUUUGCAAUGUAGAAGCAUAUCAAAUCAUCAGAUUGUAGAUUUUAAAUAUAUUACAACCUUACUUUAUCUUAUAUCAUCUUAUAUUAUCAACCUCAAUAAUGUUGAAAAUAAAAUAAAUUAAAUAGAAAUAAAUGCUGUUUAA
rnacentral:lncRNA from 1 species